GAUGAACGCUGGCGGCAGGCCUAACACAUGCAAGUCGAACGGUAGCACAGAGAGCUUGCUCUCGGGUGACGAGUGGCGGACGGGUGAGUAAUGUCUGGGAAACUGCCUGAUGGAGGGGGAUAACUACUGGAAACGGUAGCUAAUACCGCAUAACGUCGCAAGACCAAAGAGGGGGACCUUCGGGCCUCUUGCCAUCAGAUGUGCCCAGAUGGGAUUAGCUAGUAGGUGGGGUAACGGCCCACCUAGGCGACGAUCCCUAGCUGGUCUGAGAGGAUGACCGACCACACUGGAACUGAGACACGGUUCAGACUCCUACGGGAGGCAGCAGUGGGGAAUAUUGCACAAUGGGCGCAAGCCUGAUGCAGCCAUGCCGCGUGUAUGAAGAAGGCCUUCGGGUUGUAAAGUACUUUCAGCGGGGAGGAAGGGAGUAAGGUUAAUAACCUUAUUCAUUGACGUUACCCGCAGAAGAAGCACCGGCUAACUCCGUGCCAGCCGCCGCCGUAA
rnacentral:rRNA from 1 species